rnacentral:rRNA from 1 species
ACUCGAGUGGCGAACGGGUGAGUAACACGUGGGUGAUCUGCCCUGCACUUCGGGAUAAGCCUGGGAAACUGGGUCUAAUACCGGAUAGGAGCCAUUUUUAGUGUGAUGUUGGAAAGUUUUUCGGUGUAGGAUGAGCUCGCGGCCUAUCAGCUUGUUGGUGGGGUAAUGGCCUACCAAGGCGGCGACGGGUAGCCGGCCUGAGAGGGUGGACGGCCACAUUGGGACUGAGAUACGGCCCAG